rnacentral:lncRNA from 1 species
GGUGGGAAUCUGUCCUCGGCGCCCUGGACCAAGUCGCGCAGCGCCUGCAGCAACAGGCCACACAAAAGUGUCCGAACGCCUCGAGGACCGCGACAAGGGAAGUGUCUCUUCAAAGUGCGACCAAGUGGGGAAGAAGGUGUGAUUACUGUGGUCAGCAUCUAGAAAACAGAAGCACUCCCGCCUCCUCUGUGCUACAUCCUUCUUACUGGAUCUUUCUAUCAGUGAACAUUGUGGAAGUACCAUUACUACAUCGUCAUUCCUGAAGGAAAAGUUGCCAAACUUUUUUCUUUGGAGUUGCUUCAAAGUUGUUGGGAUUUUUGAUGAUGCCUCCCCUAUGUGGAUUACUACUGUUUGAACACUGGGAAUUCUCCAUCUUAAAGAAGGUACGUUGCUUUUUAAAUACUCUAUAGGCACUUUGUUUGGGAGCUGGUGCUUAUACGUUUACAGAAUUUUCUAGUUAUUUUGAGCUGUUGCCUGUUCAAAGUGAUUUAUGACUUUAGAGUUCCUUGUUUUGUACUGGUUUUUGUAGGUUCACUUUCAUUUGGGAUGACGAUUUGGGUACUUCUAAGGAAACUUUAUUAAUUUGACUGUCUUCAAGGUUAUCACUUAUCAUGAAUGUGGUUAUAUAGUUACAAAGGAAAGUUAUAUAACAAUGAUGGGUCUGAUAGGUAGGUAUUCUAUUCUGUCUAUGAUUGAUUUUCCUUUUAAAUAUAACAGUGAACAUUUCUAUAGUAGCAGGACUUCUGUAGUUUGCAUUCAUUUUGGAC